rnacentral:rRNA from 1 species
AGGGCGCAUGGUGAAUGCCUUGGCAUCAGGAGCCGAUGAAGGACGUGAUAAGCUGCGAUAAGCUUCGGGUAGGCGCACAUAGCCUGAGAUCCGAAGAUCUCCGAAUGAGGAAACUCACAUGGGAAACCCCAUGUAUCAUUAAGUGAAUACAUAGCUUAAUGAAGGUAACCCAGGGAACUGAAACAUCUAAGUACCUGGAGGAAGAGAAAGAAAAAUCGAUUUUCUUAGUAGCGGCGAGCGAAAGGGAAAGAGCCCAAACCGGAAACUUGUUUCCGGGGUUGUGGACAUAGCAUUAAAGUGGAGGCUAUUGUAACUGAAGAGAACUGGAAAGUUCCACCGUAGAAGGUAAUAGUCCUGUAAGUGAAACGAGAAGACCACGAGUUAUGAUCCAGAGUACCACGAGACACGUGAAACCUUGUGGGAAGCAGGGAGGACCACCUCCCAAGGCUAAAUACUACCUGAUGACCGAUAGUGAAGCAGUACCGUGAGGGAAAGGUGAAAAGAACCCCGGGAGGGGAGUGAAAUAGAACCUGAAACCGUGUGCCUACAACCGCUCAGAGCCCCUUAUGAGGGUGAUGAGGUGCUUUUUGUAGAACGAGCCAACGAGUUACGGUAUGUAGCAAGGUUAAGUACUUAAGGUACGGAGCCGAAGGGAAACCGAGUCUGAAUAGGGCGACUAGUUGCAUGCCGUAGACCCGAAACCGGGUGACCUAUCCAUGGCCAGGUUGAAGCGAGGGUAAAACCUCGUGGAGGACCGAACCACGUUGCUGUUGAAAAAGCAUGGGAUGAGCUGUGGAUAGCGGAGAAAUUCCAAUCGAACCCGGAGAUAGCUGGUUCUCUCCGAAAUAGCUUUAGGGCUAGCGUCGAGUAUGAGUAGUGGAGGUAGAGCACUGAAUGGGCUAGGGGGCAUAGCGCUUACCGAACCUUAUCAAACUCCGAAUGCCACAUACUUUGAGCUCGGCAGUCAGACUACGAAUGAUAAGAUCCGUGGUCAAAAGGGAAACAGCCCAGAUCGUCAGCUAAGGUCCCAAAGUGUAAGUUAAGUGGGAAAGGAUGUGAGAUUUCUAAGACAACUAGGAUGUUGGCUUAGAAGCAGCCAUUCAUUAAAAGAGUGCGUAAUAGCUCACUAGUCGAGAGAUCUUGCGCCGAAAAUGUAACGGGGCUAAACUUACCACCGAAGCUACGGGCUUGAACUUAGUUCAAGCGGUAGGAGAGCGUCGUAACCGGGCUGAAGUCGUACCGUAAGGAGCGGUGGACUGGUUACGAGUGAGAAUGUUGGCAUCAGUAGCGAGAUGUGGGUGAGAAUCCCACAGGCCGAAAACCUAAGGUUUCCUCAGGAAGGUUCGUCCGCUGAGGGUUAGUCGGGACCUAAGCCGAGGCCGAAAGGCGUAGGUGAUGGACAACUGGUUGAUAUUCCAGUACCACUACCAUCGUUAUUAUCGAUGGCGUGACGCAGGAGGAUAGUGUGUGCUAGCUAUUGGAUGCUAGUCUAAGCGUUUAGGCAGUGAGAGUAGGCAAAUCCGCUCUCAUAAUGCUGAGGCGUGAUGGGGAAGGUUCCACGGAACCGAAGUACAUGAUUCCACGCUGCCAAGAAAAGCGUCUAGAGAGAGAAGUAGUGCCCGUACCGCAAACCGACACAGGUAGGUGAGGAGAGAAUCCUAAGGCCGGCGGAAGAAUUACAGUUAAGGAACUCGGCAAAUUGACCCCGUAAGUUCGCGAGAAGGGGUGCCUACGAGAGUAGGCCGCAGAGAAUAGGCCCAAGCAACUGUUUAGCAAAAACACAGGUCUCUGCUAAAGCGUAAGCUGAUGUAUAGGGGCUGACGCCUGCCCGGUGCUGGAAGGUUAAGGGGAACACUUAGCGCAAGCGAAGGUGUGAACUUAAGCCCCAGUAAACGGCGGCCGUAACUAUAACGGUCCUAAGGUAGCGAAAUUCCUUGUCAGGUAAGUUCUGACCCGCACGAAUGGCGUAAUGACUUGGGCACUGUCUCAACUGUAAAUCCGGCGAAGUUGUAGUGCGAGUGAAGAUGCUCGCUACCCGCGAUUGGACGGAAAGACCCCGUAGAGCUUUACUGUAGCUUAGCAUUGAGUUUUGGUAUUGUCUGUACAGGAUAGGUGGGAGACUAGGAAACCAGGGCGUCAGCCUUGGUGGAGUCAACCUUGGGAUACCACCCUGACAGUACUGAAAUUCUAACUGGCGGCCAUGAAUCUGGUCACAGGACAUUGUUAGGUGGGCAGUUUGACUGGGGCGGUCGCCUCCUAAAAAGUAACGGAGGCGCCCAAAGGUUCCCUCAGAACGGUCGGAAAUCGUUCGAAGAGUGCAAAGGCAGAAGGGAGCCUGACUGCGACACCCACAAGUGGAGCAGGGACGAAAGUCGGGCUUAGUGAUCCGGUGGUACCUCGUGGGAGGGCCAUCGCUCAACGGAUAAAAGCUACCUCGGGGAUAACAGGCUGAUCUCCCCCAAGAGUCCACAUCGACGGGGAGGUUUGGCACCUCGAUGUCGGCUCGUCGCAUCCUGGGGCUGAAGUAGGUCCCAAGGGUUGGGCUGUUCGCCCAUUAAAGCGGCACGCGAGCUGGGUUCAGAACGUCGUGAGACAGUUCGGUCCCUAUCCGUCGCGGGCGUAGGAAAUUUGAGAGGAGCUGUCCUUAGUACGAGAGGACCGGGAUGGACUGACCUCUGGUGUACCAGUUGUUCCGCCAGGAGCACAGCUGGGUAGCUAAGUCGGGAAUGGAUAAACGCUGAAAGCAUCUAAGCGUGAAGCCAACCUCAAGAUGAGAUUUCCCAUAGCGUAAGCUAGUAAGAUCCCUUGA